CGUUAUGGCGGCUGUGCGCGGGAGACCUUCGGGUCUACCGGGUUGCCGUUUCCCCGGGUUUCCAGCCUGCGUACAGCUGCCACCUCU
rfam:Pseudomonas sp. TW4, complete genome.